AACAGGAUUAGAUACCCUGGUAGUCCACGCCGUAAACGAUGUCGACUUGGAGGUUGUUCCCUUGAGGAGUGGCUUCCGGAGCUAACGCGUUAAGUCGACCGCCUGGGGAGUACGGCCGCAAGGUUAAAACUCAAAUGAAUUGACGGGGGCCCGCACAAGCGGUGGAGCAUGUGGUUUAAUUCGAUGCAACGCGAAGAACCUUACCUACUCUUGACAUCCACGGAAUUUGGCAGAGAUGCCUUAGUGCCUUCGGGAACCGUGAGACAGGUGCUGCAUGGCUGUCGUCAGCUCGUGUUGUGAAAUGUUGGGUUAAGUCCCGCAACGAGCGCAACCCUUAUCCCUUGUUGCCAGCGAUUCGGUCGGGAACUCAAAGGAGACUGCCGGUGAUAAACCGGAGGAAGGUGGGGAUGACGUCAAGUCAUCAUGGCCCUUACGAGUAGGGCUACACACGUGCUACAAUGGCGCAUACAAAGAGAAGCGACCUCGCGAGAGCAAGCGGACCUCACAAAGUGCGUCGUAGUCCGGAUCGGAGUCUGCAACUCGACUCCGUGAAGUCGGAAUCGCUAGUAAUCGUGGAUCAGAAUGCCACGGUGAAUACGUUCCCGGGCCUUGUACACACCGCCCGUCACACCAUGGGAGUGGGUUGCAAAAGAAGUAGGUAGCUUAACCUUCGGGAGGGCGCUUACCACUUUGUGAUUCAUGACUGGGGUGAAGUCGUAACAAGGUAACC
rnacentral:rRNA from 1 species